CCCUAGACAUCCCCCUAGCUCGUGAAUGAGCCUCUUGAAUUUGCUCAGAUGAUGGGGCGUUUUAUCAGCGCCACUAGCUCGGGCAAAAGAAAUGGCGAAAGCGAUCGGAAUGGUGGCGACGCCGAGACUGUCUCUUCUCAGCCGACAAUUCUUCAGAAAAAGGAUAUCUGGAAGUGCAAGUAGAAUGCUUCUUUGGAAUACUCAUUUGAGCAAGACUACAUGAUCUACUUAUGUUAUUAAAGUACUACAUAAGUAGAUAGUCACUAGGCCUCGACCUUGGACCAUCAUCAUGGUCGAGGCAUUGUGAGUAGCUCUACUACUAGCGGAGUCUUAUGAAAUUCACAGAUAAACGAAGACUUUACUUGCUUGAUGGUUAAUUCUUGCGAUGUAUGUACUCUUGGAUGAAAGUAUUUGAGAGAAGAAUAAGAUUUAUAGUGUAUCUUUCGGCUUUUUGUUAAUGAGUGAUUUAGAUCACACCAUUAAAAUUCAAGUGAGAUCUUCUAUCCUGUUUCGGUGUAAAGCAAAAGGGAUGAAAUUGCUUUCCUCAAUCAUAGCUAAAUGUUGUUGAAUAAUGCUAGGGUUCCAAAGUCCAAAGUCCAAAGUAUUGGACUAAAAUUAGGCAGGAUUUCUAAAAAAUUCCAGAGACUGCAAGUUGAAACAAUCAGCUACUUGUUCACAGUGAUUGGAUUCGAGAGCUUCGUUGUACAAACCUCAUUUGUGGGGCGAUAUGUCUUUUCAGAAGCAAUAAUUUGGUGUUA